rnacentral:rRNA from 1 species
CCUACGGGGCGCAGCAGUGGGGAAUAUUGCACAAUGGGGGAAACCCUGAUGCAGCGACGCCGCGUGAGUGAAGAAGUAUCUCGGUACGUAAAGCUCUAUCAGCAGGGAAGAAAAUGACGGUACCUGAUUAAGAAGCCCCGGCUAACUACGUGCCAGCAGCCGCGGUAAUACGUAGGGGGCAAGCGUUAUCCGGAUUUACUGGGUGUAAAGGGAGCGUAGACGGCAGUGCAAGUCCGGAGUGAAAGCCCGGGGCUCAACCCUGGGACUGCUCUGGAAACUGCAAAGCUGGAGUGCGGGAGGGGCAG